GUACCGAUGAAGAGUCCCAAACUAGGACGAGACAGCCGUCCAGUAC
rnacentral:hammerhead_ribozyme from 1 species